UAAUACGUAGGGGGCAAGCGUUGUCCGGAAUCAUUGGGCGUAAAGCGCGUGUAGGCGGCUCGGUAAGUCUGCUGUGAAAGUCCAGGGCUCAACCCUGGGAUGCCGGUGGAUACUGUCGAGCUCGAGUCCGGAAGAGGCGAGUGGAAUUCCUGGUGUAGCGGUGAAAUGCGCAGAUAUCAGGAGGAACACCAAUGGCGAAGGCAGCUCGCUGGGACGUGACUGACGCUGAGACGCGAAAGCGUGGGGAGCAAACAGGAUUAGAUACCCUGGUAGUCCACGCCGUAAACGAUGGGCACUAGGUGUGGGGGGUGUCGACUCCCUCCGUGCCGAAGCUAACGCAUUAAGUGCCCCGCCUGGGGAGUACGGCCGCAAGGCUA
rnacentral:rRNA from 1 species